rnacentral:lncRNA from 1 species
AUGCAAAAUCCUUCAGCGUCUGAAACCAUCGCGGCCGCCGCCGCCGCCGCCGCCGCCGCCGCCGCCGCCGCCGCCGCCGGGUGGGAGCCGCGGGGAGCGCCUAGUGGCGCGGUCUGCCUGGCAUGGUGGCCGGCUCGGCGCUCGCCGGCACGCCGCUCCGGGGGCUCGGGACGCGAGCCGCGCUCUCCGACUCCGAGACUUUGCAGGGUUGCAACAGACGGUGGGGAGGCAAAAAAGAAAAAGGGGGGGGGAAGGGAAAAGGAAAAUAUGGUGCUAAAGUCACCAAGUCCCACCUACUGGGCAGAAUUAAAACGGACACACCUGCAAAACACACACGCACACGCACUCACACAUGCACACACCCGGAGCCCGGGGGGAGGAGGAGGAGGAGGAGGAGGAGGAGGAGGAGGAGGAGGAGGAGGAGGAGGAGGGGGAGAUGCAGUCGGAGCUGCCGCAGCCGCCGCGAAUGGCUCGCCGCGCGCCUGCAGAAAUGUACAAGUGCUCAGAGCCUUACGAAACGCACGGGUUAUCGGAGCGUCUUCCUCGGCUCGCUCCCUCCCUCCCUCCCGCUCCCCUCCCUCCUCCCCUCCCUCCUCGCGGCCUCCUCCCCCCGCCCCGGCUGGGAGCGGCAGGCGAGCGGAAUCUCCCCCCGCCCUGCCUCCCCCUCCCCUUCCCCGCACCCCACUCGCUCCCCGCCCGUCCUCCCUCCCCUCCUCCCUCCCCACCCACCCACCCGCCCGCUCGCCGGCUCGCGGCUCUCGCCCGCACCGCCACCCGCAGCCGCGCGCCCGCCCGCUCCACGCCCCGCGGCCCGGCGCCCGCUCGCCGCAGCCCAGGGGAAACCGAGGCGGAAGGGAAAAAGUUGCAGUCGGGCUCGGGAGGGUCCGGGCUGGGGGGGGAGUUGGCGAGCGGGCCGCGCGACGCCGAGAGGCGCUCUCCUCCCCACUUUUUGGCCCUCGCGCUGCCCGGUGUUUUGCUGCAAUCCGGACCGCGAGAGCGAGGGAGAUGGACGCGGCCGAGGUGACCGGGGAGUGCUCCCGGGCCCGGGGGGAGGGGGCCGGGCUCGGGGACGGGGACGGGGACGGGGACGGGGUCGGGGACGGCCGACCGGGGCUGCGGGAGCGCACCCGCGCCGCAGAGAGGCGCCCGGAGCCAGGGACCCGGGGCCGCGGACGCGCGGUCCUCCGUCUAAAUGACUCUCCUUUCCGUGACCGCGAGUCCGGGAGCUGGGCUCGGCUGGGAGGGGACCGCGGGGCACGGCCGGGUGGGCGCCCCCCGCGCCCCGCGCCCCCCCGCGCCCUCUCGGCGGCGGGCUCUGCGCGGUCAGCCUCCGGCAGGCGGGGAGCGGGGCGGGCAGGAAGCAGCGCCGAGAGGGCUGCGCUGGGGAGCCGAGGGGCAUCGAGGUGGCCCCGGGCGAGCUGUGCUUGCAGGAAGGACGCGGCCGGGAAAUUGAGAUGCAAGGGGCAUUUUUUGGCAAGCAGGCCAGCACCGUCAGAGGCCGGCUUCUUGGGCUCGGCUCGCGGGUGCGCGGCUCCGGCUGCCCGGUGA